rnacentral:rRNA from 1 species
UGCAGUCGAGCGGCAGCGCGGGGCAACCUGGCGGCGAGCGGCGAACGGGUGAGUAAUGUAUCGGAACGUACCCAGUCGUGGGGGAUAACUAUCCGAAAGGAUAGCUAAUACCGCAUACGUCCUGAGGGAGAAAGCGGGGGACCGUAAGGCCUCGCGCGAUUGGAGCGGCCGAUAUCGGAUUAGCUAGUUGGUGGGGUAAAGGCUCACCAAGGCGACGAUCCGUAGCUGGUCUGAGAGGACGACCAGCCACACUGGAACUGAGACACGGUCCAGACUCCUACGGGAGGCAGCAGUGGGGAAUUUUGGACAAUGGGGGCAACCCUGAUCCAGCCAUUCCGCGUGAGUGAAGAAGGCCUUCGGGUUGUAAAGCUCUUUCAGCAGGAACGAAACGGUGGUCCCGAAUACGGGCUACUAAUGACGGUACCUGAAGAAGAAGCACCGGCUAACUACGUGCCAGCAGCCGCGGUAAUACGUAGGGUGCGAGCGUUAAUCGGAAUUACUGGGCGUAAAGCGUGCGCAGGCGGUUCUAUAAGACAGAUGUGAAAUCCCCGGGCUUAACCUGGGAACUGCGUUUGUGACUGUGGGACUCGAGUGUGGCAGAGGGGGGUGGAAUUCCACGUGUAGCAGUGAAAUGCGUAGAGAUGUGGAGGAACACCGAUGGCGA